GAGAGAGAGAGAGAGAGAGAGAGGGAAACAUGGCCUUUAUAGCGCUAGGAUUAAGGCAACAGGUAGGGAAAGUUGAAGGUAGGUAAUUAGGUUAGGCAACAGGUAAGAUACAACAGGUGAUGGGUUAGGUAACGAAAGGAAGGUAAGGGAAGAGGAGUUUUGAGUAAGGUAAGGUUAGGUAAGGUUACUGAAAGGUGAAUUAAGGUAGGUGAGGUAAGGUAUUUUAAGGUAAUUUUAGGUGAGGGAAGUAAUUUUAGGUAAAGGAAGAUUGAAUUUCGAGUUAGGUAAAGUUAAGGUAAGGUUAGGUAAAGUUACUGAAAGGUGGAUUAAGGUUAAGGGAAAUGGAUAUAAGGGUAGGUGAGGUAAGGUAUUUUAAGGUAAUUUUAGGUAAGGGAAGAGGCGUUUGGAGUAAGGUAAAGUUAAGGUAAGGCUAGGUAAGGUUACUGAUUGGUGGAUUAAGGUUAAGGGACAAAUAUAAGGGUAGGUGAGGUAAGGUAUUUUAAGGUAAUUAGGUAAGGGAAGAUUGAAAUUCGAGUAAGGUAAAGUUAAGGUAGGGUUAGGUAAAGUUACUAAAAGAUGAAUUAAUCUAAAGGGAAAUAAGGAUGAAAUUGGUUAAGGCAAGGUAUUUUAAGGUAAUUUUAGGUAAGGGAAGAGAGUUUCGAGUAAGGUAAAGUUAAGGUAGGGUUAGGUAAAGUUACUAAAAGAUGAAUUAAUUUAAAGGAAAAUAAGGAUAAAAUUGGUUAAGGCAAGGUAUUUUAAGGUAAUUUUAGGUAAGGGAAGAUAGAGUUUUGAGUAAGGUAAAGUUAAGGUAAGGUUAGGUAAGGUUACUGAAAGGUGGAUUAAGGUUAAGGGAACUGAUUAUAAAGGUAGGGAAGGUAAGGUAUUUUAAGGUAAUUUUAGGUAAGGGAAGAGAGUUUCGAGUUAGGUUAAGUUAAGGUAAGGUUAGGUAAGGUUACUGAUUGGUGGAUUAAGGUUAAGGGACAAAUAUAAGGGUAGGUGGGGUCAGGUAUUUUAAGAUAAUUUUAGGUAAGGGAAGAUAGAGUUUCGAGUAAGGUAAAAUUUAGGUAAGGUUAGGUAAGGGAACUGGAAGGCAACUUUAGGAAAGGUAGUGAUUAGACCAGGUAAGGCAGACUAAGGUAAUACACGUAGAUUUAACCUUAAACUAAUUACAAGGUAAGAUUCGAGUAUUUUAAGGGAAAGUAAGAUUAGGUAAGGUAAGGUAAAGAUCAAACCAGGUGUAAGGUAAAAUUCCGGUACUACAAGGAAAGGUAACAUUAGGUAAGGUUAAUUAGCUCAGGUGAUGAAAUAUAUAUGUAUCAGGUGUGUCGGGUAAUUAGUGUGGGAGGAACACCUGUUUGUUGCUCAUUAAGAGGAAAGUGAUGCUGAGAGAGAGAGAGAGAGAGAGAAUGAAAGGAAGAAAGACUGAAAUAAAGAAAGGAAUGAAUAAAGAAAGAGAGGAAGAGAGAAAGAAAGAAAGAAUGAAGGAAAAUAAAGGAGGAAAAACAAAGAAAGGAGGAAUGAAAAGAAGAAAAUGAGAGAAAGGACAGAAGAAAGAAAAGAAAGAAAGGGAAUGAAAGAAAGAAAGAA